UCAGACCAGGGCUUCUCACCACCAGUUUGAAGCUCCCUUCUUCUCUCCUAUCUUCAUAGGAACUCCUAGCUUUUGCAGGACUGGUUCUUUGGAUGGGGAAGAUCCAGGUGGUCUGGGGAGAGAGCAUUUCCAGUACCCACCCCAGUGUGUGCCACCCUCAGGAGCCCCUGGCAGGACCAAGACUCAGGGUCCUCAUUGUGGGCCUCUGCAGCUUGUGGAAG
rnacentral:lncRNA from 1 species